rnacentral:rRNA from 1 species
GGCGGUGGCGGCUGCUAUAAUGCAGUCGAGCGAACAGAAAAGGAGCUUGCUCCUUUGACGUUAGCGGCGGACGGGUGAGUAACACGUGGGCAACCUACCCUAUAGUUUGGGAUAACUCCGGGAAACCGGGGCUAAUACCGAAUAAUCUCUUUUGCUUCAUGGCAAGAGACUGAAAGACGGCAUCUCGCUGUCGCUAUAGGAUGGGCCCGCGGCGCAUUAGCUAGUUGGUGAGGUAACGGCUCACCAAGGCGACGAUGCGUAGCCGACCUGAGAGGGUGAUCGGCCACACUGGGACUGAAACACGGCCCAAACUCCUACGGGAGGCAGCAGUAGGGAAUCUUCCACAAUGGGCGAAAGCCUGAUGGAGCAACGCCGCGUGAGUGAAAAAGGUUUUCGGAUCGUAAAACUCUGUUGUAAGGGAAGAACAAGUACAGUAGUAACUGGCUGUACCUUGACGGUACCUUAUUAAAAAGCCACGGCUAACUACGUGCCAGCAGCCGCGGUAAUACGUAGGUGGCAAGCGUUGUCCGGAAUUAUUGGGCGUAAAGCGCGCGCAGGCGGUCCUUUAAGUCUGAUGUGAAAGCCCACGGCUCAACCGUGGAGGGUCAUUGGAAACUGGGGGACUUGAGUGCAGAAGAGGAAAGUGGAAUUCCAAGUGUAGCGGUGAAAUGCGUAGAGAUUUGGAGGAACACCAGUGGCGAAGGCGACUUUCUGGUCUGUAACUGACGCUGAGGCGCGAAAGCGUGGGGAGCAAACAGGGAUUAGAUACCCUGAUAGUCCACGCCCGUAACGAUGAGUGCUAAGUGUUAGGGGGUUUUCGCCCCUUAGUGCUGCAGCUAACGCAUUAAGCACUCCGCCCUGGGGGAGUACGGUCCGCAAGAACG